CCUGUAGACAUGGGUCAUAAGAGUCCUCUGCUGGCUAUGGCUCAGGUGACUUGAGGGCAGUUUGCUGGGGAGAGUUCAGCAAACCACUGAGAGAAAUCUACUAGAAACAGUCUGACAAUAAAUUAAGGGAAAAUUCAAUGGCAACAUUCCAAAAGCUAUAAAAGCAACCCGCUAAAAAUUAGAGGCUUGCAUGGAUCCAUAAGGAGAAUUCUUGGCAGUCUGAGUGAGUGCACUUGCAAGUGGGAGAAGGGCAGAAAGAGGAAGACAGAGGAUCCAAAGCUGGCUCCAUGCUGACAGCAGAGAGCUUGAUGUGGGGCUUGAACUCACAGAAUUGCAAGAUCUGAGCCGAAUCCUGAUGCUUAACUGACUGAGCCACCCUGGCGCCCCAACCUAUACUUUUUGUUCUGUUUCUUUCAUUCUGUCUUUCUUACUCAGGGGUGCUGCAAGAACUGAACAUUUCAUUGGAUCUGGGAGCAGAAUGGCUUGCACCUUGUUUCUUGAAAGAAACCAAUGAUGAUGAUGGCAAGACCCUGGG